rnacentral:rRNA from 1 species
UACAGAGGUCUCAAGCGUUGUUCGGAUUCAUUGGGCGUAAAGGGUGCGUAGGUGGCGGGGUAAGUUGGAUGUGAAAUCCCGGGGCUCAACCCCGGAACUGCAUUCAAUACUGCCUUGCUAGAGUACUGGAGAGGAGAUUGGAAUUUACGGUGUAGCAGUGAAAUGCGUAGAUAUCGUAAGGAAGACCAGUGGCGAAGGCGGAUCUCUGGACAGUUACUGACACUGAGGCACGAAGGCCAGGGGAGCAAACGGG